rnacentral:tRNA from 1 species
GGGGGUGGCUCGGUGCAGCAUCUGGCUUGUCAUCCAUGAUGCUCGGGGUUCGAAUCCCCGCACCUCUACCA